rnacentral:pre_miRNA from 1 species
CAACUACUCCCUCUGUCCCAAAUUUCUUGUCUUAGAUUUGUCUAGAUACGAAUGUAUCUAAUACUAAAAUGUGACUUGAUACAUCCAUAUCUAGACAAAUCUAAGACAAGAAUUUUGGGAUGGAGGGAGUACUUU